CCUACGUGUGGCAGCAGUGGGGAAUAUUGGACAAUGGGCGAAAGCCUGAUCCAGCCAUGCCGCGUGUGUGAAGAAGGCCUUCGGGUUGUAAAGCACUUUCAGUGGGGAAGAAAGCCUUGGGGCUAAUACCCUCGAGGAAGGACAUCACCCACAGAAGAAGCACCGUCUAACUCCGUGCCAGCAGCCGCGGUAAUACGGAGGGUGCGAGCGUUAAUCGGAAUUACUGGGCGUAAAGCGCGCGUAGGCGGUCUGAUAAGCCGGUUGUGAAAGCCCCGGGCUCAACCUGGGAACGGCAUCCGGAACUGUCAGGCUAGAGUGCAGGAGAGGAAGGUAGAAUUCCCGGUGUAGCGGUGAAAUGCGUAGAGAUCGGGAGGAAUACCAGUGGCGAAGGCGGCCUUCUGGACUGACACUGACGCUGAGGUGCGAAAGCGUGGGUAGCAAACAGGAUUAGAUACCCGUGUAGUC
rnacentral:rRNA from 1 species